ACUUUGUUUGACUGCAUUUAUUCUUAUUUCCACCCCCAUGCAGAGUUGGUGGUUCCUGAUGGCUGGGUUUUGGUGUUCAGCAGAACCUCCUGCUGUGUAUUUCAUGAUUAUGAGACCAAAUGGGUGACUGACCGCAGCAGCUGGCUUUUAAAUUCAAGAUGAAUUACUUUUCAGAUUAGAGUGUGAUGUGAACUUACUGCCUGCUUCCUUUUGGAGAUGCACAAGGAUGACCCUGGAUGGUUAAAUUGUUGCCCUGAUGCUGCUCUUCUGAUGAGUACAGGUUAAGAACUUGUGGUUUGGAAGCGGUUCCUUCAGCAGUUUCCACCAAAUACAACCACGUGGUGAUCUGCACACAAUGAAGUGCAUAUGGAGUUGGGCAGAUCGAUCCAAAUAUCGAUAGUAUCAAUACCAACGUUGGGACUGGAAUCGGUUACAUACUAGGGUGAUGGGAUUGAUACUUUAGUUUCAGGUUCUUAUCUCGGGAGUACUAUAGUAACCCUUUUGUGUUAACUGUGAUUCCUUUAAUUAGGCUUCAUGUAGCUAGGCUAGAUGAGCCCCCCCCCCCCCCCCCCCAGAAGAGGUUGAGAAUUAGUCAGUAGUUUGUGCUUUUGAUUAAUUUGCAUAAUUGUGUGGACUUUUUUUUACUGAAAGCCAGAAAAAUGCAAUGAAAUAGAAAUCCGAGCAAAUUUGUGUAAACUAGAGUUGUCACUACUAUCUUUUUCUAAUGUUUUGAUGCUGUUUGGUUAAAUUUAAUGUAUUAAAGUAAAAUUUAAAACAAA